rnacentral:rRNA from 1 species
AUUGAACGCUGGCGGCAUGCUUUACACAUGCAAGUCGAACGGCAGCGCGGGCUUCGGCCUGGCGGCGGGUGGCGAACGGGUGAGUAAUGCAUCGGAACGUGCCCAGUAGUGGGGGAUAGCCCGGCGAAAGCCGGAUUAAUACCGCAUACGACCUGAGGGUGAAAGCGGGGGACCGAAAGGCCUCGCGCUAUUGGAGCGGCCGAUGUCGGAUUAGCUAGUUGGUGGGGUAAGGGCUUACCAAGGCGACGAUCCGUAGCUGGUCUGAGAGGACGACCAGCCACACUGGGACUGAGACACGGCCCAGACUCCUACGGGAGGCAGCAGUGGGGAAUUUUGGACAAUGGGGGCAACCCUGAUCCAGCCAUGCCGCGUGCGGGAAGAAGGCCUUCGGGUUGUAAACCGCUUUUGUUCGGGAAGAAAUCCUCUGGGCUAAUACCCCGGGGGGAUGACGGUACCGGAAGAAUAAGCACCGGCUAACUACGUG